AUAAAUCCCAAAACUUGCACCAGAUGAAGGCCCAAUUCACAAUAACUUGGUCUCAAAAUGUUGGCAUUGGCCAAGACCUUUGCAUAUGAAAUGUUGCCUAAUCCUAAGUCCAAAAGUUCAGAUCAAGCUCAACAGUCCACUCAAACAUUUUUUUAGGGUUUUUGUUGUUUAUUAGGUAUUUUAAGGUCCUAAGACCACAAACACAAUCAAAAUACACAAGCAAAUAUAUACAAUCACAAUAUAUGGCUCAAAUGAGCAAAGUGAAAAUGACAUAAAC
rnacentral:lncRNA from 1 species